UGGGGCGUGGCCAAGCGGUAAGGCAACGGGUUUUGGUCCCGUUACUCGGAGGUUCUAAUCCUU
rnacentral:tRNA from 5 species